rnacentral:rRNA from 1 species
UACGUAGGGUGCGAGCGUUAAUCGGAAUUACUGGGCGUAAAGGGUGCGCAGGCGGUUAUAUAAGACAGAUGUGAAAUCCCCGGGCUCAACCUGGGAACUGCGUUUGUGAUUGUAUGACUAGAGUACGGUAGAGAGGGGUGGAAUUCCUGGUGUAGCAGUGAAAUGCGUAGAUAUCAGGAGGAACAUCGAUGGCGAAGGCAGCCCCUUGGACCUGUACUGACGCUCAUGCACGAAAGCGUGGGGAGCAAACAGG